GUAACGCGUGGGAACGUACCCUUUGGUUCGGAAUAUUCUCGGGAAACUGAGAGCAAUACCGGAUAAGCCCUACGGGGGAAAGAUUUAUCGCCAAAGGAGCGGCCCGCGUCAGAUUAGGUAGUUGGUGGGGUAAAGGCCUACCAAGCCUACGAUCUGUAGCUGGUCUGAGAGGAUGAUCAGCCACGCUGGGACUGAGACACGGCCCAGACUCCUACGGGAGGCAGCAGUGGGGAAUCUUGGACAAUGGGCGCAAGCCUGACCCAGCCAUGCCGCGUGGAUGAUGAAGGCCUUAGGGUUGUAAAAUCCUUUCAACGGGGACGAUAAUGACGGUACCCGUAGAAGAAGCCCCGGCUAACUUCGUGCCAGCAGCCGCGGUAAUACGAAGGGGGCUAGCGUUGCUCGGAAUUACUGGGCGUAAAGCGCACGUAGGCGGAUAUUUAAGUCGGAGGUGAAAGCCCAGGGCUCAACCCUGGAACUGCCCUCGAUACUGGGUAUCUGGACCAAAGUAGAGGUAAGUGGAAUUCCGAGUGUAGAGGUGAAAUUCGUAGAUAUUCGGAGGAACACCAGUGGCGAAGGCGACUUACUGGACUUUUGGUGACGCUGAGGUG
rnacentral:rRNA from 1 species